rnacentral:rRNA from 1 species
UGGGGGAUAUUGGACAAUGGGGGGAACCCUGAUCCAGCGACGCCGCGUGAGUGAAGAAGUAUUUCGGUAUGUAAAGCUCUAUCAGCAGGGAAGAAUAAUGACGGUACCUGAGUAAGAAGCCCCGGCUAACUACGUGCC